AGCAGUUUGAUUUAACUGAGGAGGCUGAGA
rnacentral:piRNA from 1 species